UUAACUUAUUAAAUGAUACUCAGACUACAAAUAUUCAGAGUUUAAGGGUCCUCUGACAAGCACUGACCAGCCGGAGCCGGCGGUCCGAAGACGGGCCUGCCAAAGCAACAAAGUAUUAUAAACACAGGGUGGGAGAUCUACCCCGAAGGGCAAGUUCUCUGUAAUGAUCCUUCCGCAGGUUCACCUACGGAAA
rnacentral:misc_RNA from 1 species